UACGGGAGGCAGCAGUGGGGAAUAUUGCACAAUGGGCGCAAGCCUGAUGCAGCCAUGCCGCGUGUAUGAAAAAGGCCUUCGGGUUGUAAAGUACUUUCAGUCGUGAGGAAGGUGUUAAGGUUAAUAACCUUAGCAAUUGACGUUAGCGACAGAAGAAGCACCGGCUAACUCCGUGCCAGCAGCCGCGGUAAUCGGAGGUGCGAGCGCUAAUCGGAAUUACUGGGCGUAAAGGGCACGCAGGCGGUUAAUUAAGUUGGAUGUGAAAUCCCCGGGCUUAACCUGGGAAUGGCAUUCAAGACUGGUUAGCUAGAGUCUUGUAGAGGGGGUAGAAUUCCAUGUGUAGCGGUGAAAUGCGUAGAGAUGUGGAGGAAUACCGGUGGCGAAGGCGGCCCCUGGACAAAGGACUGACGCUCAUGUGCGAAAGCGUGGGGAGCAAACAGGGAUUAGAUACC
rnacentral:rRNA from 1 species